rnacentral:rRNA from 1 species
GACAGAGGGUGCAAACGUUGUUCGGAAUUACUGGGCGUAAAGCGCGUGUAGGCGGCCCUGUAAGUCGGGUGUGAAAUCCCACGGCUCAACCGUGGAAGUGCAUUCGAAACUACAGGGCUAGAGUUCUGGAGAGGAAGGUGGAAUGCUUGGUGUAGAGGUGAAAUUCGUAGAUAUUCGGAAGAACACCAGUGGCGAAGGCGACUCACUGGACAUGUAUUGACGCUGAGGUGCGAAAGCGUGGGGAGCAAACAGG